UUCAAUGGGAAAGUCAGAGCUUAUGAGGACGGAGGGGCUGUGCCAAAGGCAUCACAGAAAAGUCUUAAGACACAAUCAGUUUCAACUAUGGUGUAAGACAAAUUGGAAGGAAAUUGUGUACAAUGUGUCACUCUGUCAGAGGAAGCUGGUUCACUUAAGAGGCUAAAGAAGAGAAUGACAGUUGAACAAUGUUCUUCACAGGAAGCUGGUCUGGCUAGGUUACUUUUCAUGUUUUCAUUCUAAAUUGCUAGAUUUGAAAAGCAACUCUUCCAAGUUCUUUAAAUGGCUAAAGUCUCAUUAAUGCAUUUUGAGUGCGUAUUCUUUGCAUUCAACCCAGGCCAUAUUUUAUAUUUUAAAAUAUAAACCAACUAUAAAAUGGAAAUUAAAGCAUACAGAGCUUGAGCCAUUGUCUUGACCCAGGGCACUGAAUGAUCUUUCUCAACACUUCCAAAAGCUGGGAGGGAAUCUGAUGUGUGUUAUAUUUCUUUCCUUCUAUCAAAUCAGAAUCCAUCUAUUUCUGGAAGAAUUGCUAAAUUUUUUUGUUCUGCUGCUUGUACCACUCCUCAGAAGUUGACUAAAAUGACAAUUUAAAUGGUG